rnacentral:rRNA from 1 species
GAUGAACGCUAGCGGGAGGCCUAACACAUGCAAGCCGAGCGGUAUUGUUUCUUCGGAACUGCUCGAGCGGCGUACGCGUGCGUAACACUUGUGCAACCUGCCUUUAUCUGUGGGAUAGCCUUUCGAAAGGAAGAUUAAUACUCCUUCAUAUAUUUAACGGCAUCGGUUUAUAUUGAAAGCUCCGGCGGAUAUAGAUGGGGACGCGCAAGAUUACCUCGUGGGUGAGGUAACUGCACACCAAGGCGAUGAUCUUUAGGGGGCCUGAGAGGGUGAUCCCCCACACUGGUACUGAGAUACGGACCAGAAUCGGACGGGAGGCAGCGGUGAGGAACAUUGGGCAAUGGGUGCAAGCCGGAACCAGCCACCCCGCGUGAAGGAGGACUGCCAUAUGGGUUGUAAACUUCUUUGGUAUAGGGAUAAACCUACCCUCGAGAGGGUAGCUGAAGGUACUAAACGAAUAAGCACCGGCUAACUCCGUG